rnacentral:rRNA from 1 species
AUGGUUGUCGUCAGCUCGUGUCGUGAGAUGUUGGGUUAAGUCCCGCAACGAGCGCAACCCUCGCCUCUAGUUGCCAGCAUUCGGUUGGGCACUCUAGAGGGACUGCCGGCGACAAGUCGGAGGAAGGUGGGAUGACGUCAAAUCAUCAUGCCCCUUAUGACCUGGGCUACACACGUGCUACAAUGGGCGGUACAAAGGGCUGCGAACCCGCGAGGGGGAGCGAAUCCCAAAAAGCCGCUCUCAGUUCGGAUUGCAGGCUGCAACUCGCCUGCAUGAAGCCGGAAUCGCUAGUAAUCGCGGAUCAGCAUGCCGCGGUGAAUACGUUCCCGGGCCUU